GGCACAUUAGCGUAGUUGGUAGCGCGUCGAGCUCGUAACUCGAAGGUCGUGGGUUCAAGUCCCUCAUGUGCCU